rnacentral:rRNA from 1 species
CCCUUAGAUGUUCUGGGCCGCACGCGCGCUACACUGAUGCAUUCAACGAGUUCUACCUUGGCCGAGAGGCCUGGGCAAUCUUUUGAACCUGCAUCGUGAUAGGGAUAGAUUAUUGCAAUUAUUAAUCUUGAACGAGGAAUUCCUAGUAAACGCAGUUCAUCAAACUGCAUUGAUUACGUCCCUGCCCUUUGUACACACCGCCCGUCGCACCUACCGAUUGAAUGGUCCGGUGAAGCGUUCGGACCGUGGCCUUUGGACGGUUCGCCGUCUGUUGGCUGCGGGAAGUUCGUUAAACCUUAUCAUUUAGAGGAAGGAGAAGUCGUAACA